AAAAGACUUGCAUCCAAAUGAUCCUCAAAUUGUUGUUCUUAGACAUGGUGUUUGGAGGGUAAAAGGAAUAAUUCAGGUCUCAAGAUCCAUUGGUGAUGUUUAUCUUAAACACACAAGAUUUUGCAGGGAACCAACAAAUGGAAAAUUCAGAGUUCCUCAACCCCUUAAUAUGCCUAUCCUGUUGGCCACUCCAACAAUUUUAAAACAUCCUCUACAUCCAAAUGACUCCUUCCUCAUAUUUGCUUCUGAUGGUCUAUGGGAGCACUUGAGCAAUGAAAAGGCCGUUGAAAUUGUGAAGAGUCACCCUCGUAAAG
rnacentral:misc_RNA from 1 species